rnacentral:rRNA from 1 species
UACGGAGGGUGCGAGCGUUGUCCGGAAUCACUGGGCGUAAAGGGCGUGUAGGCGGUCGGUCAAGUCUGAUGUGAAAGCCCGGGGCUCAGCUCCGGAAGUGCAUCGGAAACUAGCCGGCUGGAGCGCGAUAGAGGAGGGCGGAAUUCCUGGUGUAGCGGUGAAAUGCGUAGAUAUCAGGAGGAACACCGGCGGCGAAGGCGGCUUCCUGGCCUGUUCUUGACGCUGAGGCGCGAAAGCUAGGGGAGCAAACAGG